AUUGAACGCUGGCGGUAGGCCUAACACAUGCAAGUCGAACGGCAGCACAGUAAGAGCUUGCUCUUACGGGUGGCGAGUGGCGGACGGGUGAUGAAUACAUCGGAAUCUACUUUUUCGUGGGGGAUAACGUAGGGAAACUUACGCUAAUACCGCAUACGACCUACGGGUGAAAGCAGGGGAUCUUCGGACCUUGCGCGAGUGAAUGAGCCGAUGUCGGAUUAGCUAGUUGGCGGGGUAAAGGCCCACCAAGGCGACGAUCCGUAGCUGGUCUGAGAGGAUGAUCAGCCACACUGGAACUGAGACACGGUCCAGACUCCUACGGGAGGCAGCAGUGGGGAAUAUUGGACAAUGGGCGCAAGCCUGAUCCAGCCAUACCGCGUGGGUGAAGAAGGCCUUCGGGUUGUAAAGCCCUUUUGUUGGGAAAGAAAAGCAGCAGGUUAAUACCCCGCUGUUCUGACGGUACCCAAAGAAUAAGCACCGGCUAACUUCGUG
rnacentral:rRNA from 1 species